AUUGAACGCUGGCGGCAGGCUUAACACAUGCAAGUCGAGCGGAGAUGAGGUGCUUGCACCUUAUCUUAGCGGCGGACGGGUGAGUAAUGCUUAGGAAUCUGCCUAUUAGUGGGGGACAACAUUCCGAAAGGAAUGCUAAUACCGCAUACGUCCUACGGGAGAAAGCAGGGGAUCUUCGGACCUUGCGCUAAUAGAUGAGCCUAAGUCGGAUUAGCUAGUUGGUGGGGUAAAGGCCUACCAAGGCGACGAUCUGUAGCGGGUCUGAGAGGAUGAUCCGCCACACUGGGACUGAGACACGGCCCAGACUCCUACGGGAGGCAGCAGUGGGGAAUAUUGGACAAUGGGCGGAAGCCUGAUCCAGCCAUGCCGCGUGUGUGAAGAAGGCCUUUUGGUUGUAAAGCACUUUAAGCGAGGAGGAGGCUACUUAGAUUAAUACUCUAGGAUAGUGGACGUUACUCGCAGAAUAAGCACCGGCUAACUCUGUGCCAGCAGCCGCGGUAACAC
rnacentral:rRNA from 1 species